rnacentral:rRNA from 1 species
GAUGAACGCUGGCGGCGUGCCUAAUACAUGCAAGUCGAGCGAACAGAUGAGGAGCUUGCUCCUCUGACGUUAGCGGCGGACGGGUGAGUAACACGUGGAUAACCUACCUAUAAGACUGGGAUAACUUCGGGAAACCGGAGCUAAUACCGGAUAAUAUAUUGAACCGCAUGGUUCAAUAGUGAAAGACGGUUUUGCUGUCACUUAUAGAUGGAUCCGCGCCGCAUUAGCUAGUUGGUAAGGUAACGGCUUACCAAGGCAACGAUGCGUAGCCGACCUGAGAGGGUGAUCGGCCACACUGGAACUGAGACACGGUCCAGACUCCUACGGGAGGCAGCAGUAGGGAAUCUUCCGCAAUGGGCGAAAGCCUGACGGAGCAACGCCGCGUGAGUGAUGAAGGUCUUCGGAUCGUAAAACUCUGUUAUUGGGGAAGAACAAAUGUGUAAGUAACUAUGCACGUCUUGACGGUACCUAAUCAGAGAGCCACGGCUAACUACGUG